AUGGAAUGUGUUCGUACGGUCUCAUUUCCUGUGCGUGUGAAUGGGGAAUAUUCAAGGUUCUUCAAGUCAUCCAGAGGACUUAGACAAGGUGAUCUCAUAUCACCGUAUUUAUUUCUAUUACGUGCUGAAGAUUUUUCAUCUAUAUUGAAGAAUUCUGUCACACACAUCCUCUCUAUUUCUUUAGGAGGACCGGACUGUGGCACCUUAGUCUGGGCCUUCGAGAAGCAUGGUAUGUAUUCGGUGCGCUCAGCCUAUCAUUAUCUAUUGAAUAGUGUAGCUGCACAUCGGCAUAUUGACCCAACAUCAUCGUGA
rnacentral:rRNA from 1 species